UUAAAGCUAUGUGGCAGGGACCAAUGUG
rnacentral:piRNA from 2 species